UACAGAGGGUGCAAGCGUUAAUCGGAAUUACUGGGCGUAAAGCGUGCGCAGGCGGCUUUGCAAGACAGAUGUGAAAUCCCCGGGCUCAACCUGGGAACUGCAUUUGUGACUGCAAGGCUAGAGUACGGCAGAGGGGGAUGGAAUUCCGCGUGUAGCAGUGAAAUGCGUGGAUAUGCGGAGGAACACCAAUGGCGAAGGCAAUCCCCUGGGCCUGUACUGACGCUCAUGCACGAAAGCGUGGGGAGCAAACAGG
rnacentral:rRNA from 1 species